rnacentral:rRNA from 1 species
UGCGCAGGCGGUUUUGUAAGACAGUGGUGAAAUCCCCGGGCUCAACCUGGGAACUGCCAUUGUGACUGCAAGGCUGGAGUGCGGCAGAGGGGGAUGGAAUUCCGCGUGUAGCAGUGAAAUGCGUAGAUAUGCGGAGGAACACCGAUGGCGAAGGCAAUCCCCUGGGCCUGCACUGACGCUCAUGCACGAAAGCUGGGAGCAAACA